rnacentral:rRNA from 1 species
AACGUAGGAGGCGAGCGUUAUCCGGAUUUACUGGGUGUAAAGCGCGUGCAGGCGGUUCUGCAAGUGGGACGUGAAAGCGCCCGGCUCAACUGGGCGAGGCCGUGUGAGACUGAAGAGCUUGAGAGAGGUAGAGGCGAAUGGAAUUCCGGGUGGAGUGGUGAAAUGCGUAGAGAUCCGGAGGAACACCAGUGGCGAAGGCGAUUCGCUGGGCCUACUCUGACGCUCAGACGCGACAGCAUGGGGAGCGAAC